UCUUAAUGAUGAACAAAUAACAGACAAGCAUAUGUCUGAUUUCUUAUGAUGUUUACUCUCUCUGAGCUGAAAGA